GGAGGCUCAGUGGUAAAGAGUGCUUGUCUUGCAUGCAUGAGGCCCUGAGUUCGAUUCCUCAGCACCA
rnacentral:tRNA from 1 species